CCUUCGCCGCACCGCCACGGGUCCUUUAAUCACAGCUUACGCUCGCGUGGGUGGCAACGCGCGUACCAAAGGAACGGUGUGAAACAAGACUCGUGAUAGGGAUAUAUAAUUGGCAAGGAUUUAAGGUAGUGGAUUUUGAGCAGUAGAAUUUGAUAGAGCGCGUCAUUGUCGUUUUUCCUUAUAAUCGUGACCUAGUGGGAGAGAUAUGCAGAGGUUUUAUCGCAACUUUUGAAGCACUAUGGUUGGAGGCUAUCGUAAUAACAAUGCAGUAACCGGGAAAUUACACACUGUAAAAAUCACGAAUUUACCUG
rnacentral:misc_RNA from 1 species